GGCGAACGGGUGAGUAACACGUGGGUGAUCUGCCCCUUACUUUGGGAUAAGCCUGGGAAACUGGGUCUAAUACUGGAUAGGACCAUGCUGUAGGUGGUGUGGUGGAAAGAUUAGUUUCGGUAAGGGAUGAGCUCGCGGCCUAUCAGCUUGUUGGUGGGGUAAUGGCCUACCAAGGCGUCGACGGGUAGCCGGCCUGAGAGGGUGGACGGCCACAUUGGGACUGAGAUACGGCCCAG
rnacentral:rRNA from 1 species